rnacentral:tRNA from 1 species
GCGCACUUGGCUCAAAUGGUAAGAGCAUCACUCUUGAAAGUUGAGGUUGUGGGUUUGAUUCCCACAGUGCACA